rnacentral:lncRNA from 1 species
UUUCUCAUCUAGAACAAGGAGCCAUCGUUGUUGACCUUCUCUCCCCUGUGCUGCGGGGCUCUCUCUGCAGGAACCGGAGCCCAUGCAGGCAGCAGCCCGUCCCGGGGCCCGGGACACAGCGCGUUCCCCGGGGCCGGAGCCCAGAGGCCCUCGGACCACGUUGUGUUUCCCAGCGGUUCAUCCCUGCUGCUGGAGGCCAGCGACAACAACAACGCCCGAUCACAAGUCCAAGAGGGACAGAACGUCUCGUCACUCGGCUCUGCUGCCUCAGGUGAGCGUCCUGAAACGGCUAGUUCCUGAGGAACACCUCUGGUCCCUGAGGACCACCUCUGGUCCCUGAGGACCACCUCUGGUCCCUGAGGAACACCUCUGGUUCACGAGGAACACCUCUGGUCCACGAGGAACACCUCUGGUUCACGAGGAGCUAACGGUUCUAAAGAACUUCAGAGGAACGGUUCUAACGAGCUUUAGGGGACAGGUUCUAACGAGUAGCGCACCGCACCAAAUCCUCCAGUAGUAACA